GACUUCGAUAUUCGACGUCAUAAACACGAACAACUUUGGUGUUUAUGACGUCGAUAUUCGACGUCAUAAACACGAUCAACUUUGGUGUUUAUGACGUCGAUAUUCGACGUCAUAAACACGAUCAACUUUGGUGUUUAUGACGUGGAUAUUCGACGUCAUAAACACGAUCAACUUUGGUGUUUAUGACGUCGAUAUUCGACGUC